rnacentral:rRNA from 1 species
CCUACGGGUGGCAGCAGUGAGGAAUAUUGGUCAAUGGACGAGAGUCUGAACCAGCCAAGUAGCGUGAAGGAUGACUGCCCUAUGGGUUGUAAACUUCUUUUAUAUGGGAAUAAAACGUUCCACGUGUGGGAUUUUGUAUGUACCAUAUGAAUAAGGAUCGGCUAACUCCGUGCCAGCAGCCGCGGUAGUACGGAGGAUCCGAGCGUUAUCCGGAUUUAUUGGGUUUAAAGGGAGCGUAGGUGGAUUGUUAAGUCAGUUGUGAAAGUUUGCGGCGCAACCGUAAAAUUGCAGUUGAAACUGGCAGUCUUGAGUACAGUAGAGGUGGGCGGAAUUCGUGGUGUAGCGGUGAAAUGCUUAGAUAUCACGAAGAACUCCGAUUGCGAAGGCAGUUCACUGGACUGCAACUGACACUGAGGCUCGAAAGUGUGGGUAUCAAACAGGAUUAGAUACCCCUGUAGUC